GAGAGACGCCAGAUUUAUAUCCCAGACACACGCUCCCCGGGCUAGGAGCGGCUGCCGCUGCAGAGUCGAGUCACGGACUGCCUCUGCCUUGUCUUCCUUCCCUUCUUGGAGCUGGUCAGAGCAGGAGUCGGGGGCGGGGGUAAGG
rfam:Oryctolagus cuniculus cont2.69994, whole genome shotgun sequence.